CAUUCCAGCAUUCCUAUUCUUACUCUCCAUUCGCUUUGCAGAUCCCGUGGGGGAGGACAAGGACGAGGUGAGAUGUCCAGCAUACUCAGCCAUGAAUUUAGAGUUGCACAGCUGAUGCUCAGCCAACAUCAAAGGACCCUGGAUUUCUGCAUUAACGUUCAAAGCAGGAUGGGUAAGACGAGCAUCUUCUACAAGAUCAUCCCCAGGAAGACAAUGGAGAACAUCCUGACUGGUGCCCCAUGGCUCGGAAAGUCUGCAGAUGCUGCUGGUUUGGCUUCAGCUGGAGCAGCCAGGCCCCGUGUCCACACCUGAGCAGCAGAGCUGGGGGCCCAGACUCCCCCUCCACUUUGUCAUCAGCGGCUCCCUGACCUACCUGUCCCUGGUGUGUGAGUUAGCUUUUUGCGCCCCAUGUCAGGAACUGAUAUUUGUGCUCUCCUCUUUCUACUCUACGUGACUCAAGCUUUCACAUGAGAGAAGCUUCCAAAGCAAGAGGGAAUAAUUAAAUUCAAGGAAAUGAGCACCUCCAGCACCUGGAGAGCAGAUCACACCCCUGAUCUCAGACCAGGAGCAUCAUGAUCCUCAACAUUUUAUCCUACA
rnacentral:lncRNA from 1 species